GACGAACGCUGGCGGCGUGCUUAACACAUGCAAGUCGAACGGAAAGGCCCUGCUUUUGUGGGGCGCUCGAGUGGCGAACGGGUGAGUAACACGUGAGUAACCUGCCCUUGACUUUGGGAUAACUUCAGGAAACUGGGGCUAAUACCGGAUAGGAGCUCCUGCUGCAUGGUGGGGGUUGGAAAGUUUCGGCGGUUGGGGAUGGACUCGCGGCUUAUCAGCUUGUUGGUGGGGUAGUGGCUUACCAAGGCUUUGACGGGUAGCCGGCCUGAGAGGGUGACCGGCCACAUUGGGACUGAGAUACGGCCCAGACUUCUACGGGAGGCAGCAGUGGGGAAUAUUGCACAAUGGGCGGAAGCCUGAUGCAGCAACGCCGCGUGCGGGAUGACGGCCUUCGGGUUGUAAACCGCUUUCGCCUGUGACGAAGCGUGAGUGACGGUAAUGGGUAAAGAAGCACCGGCUAACUACGUG
rnacentral:rRNA from 1 species